UCCGAUAGAUAGAUAGACAGGACAUUCUAACCCUAAGACUGACUAGUGAUCCCUUUUACCUAACAUAUAAAAGGAGGAUCAGGGAAGACUCAAUAGGAUCAAGAACACAAUACUAUAGGUUCUUGUGAAGGUCCAAGUGGUUGUCUUUAUUCCUUAAGGACUUACACAGCAAAACGCGCUUAGCAAUACACCAAAACUCUUCAGUGGACCGUGAACGAAGGGAAUUGAAGACGUUUACAAGAGAAUCGAGGAGUCUAUAAGAGAAUCGAGGAGCUUACAAAGAGGAUCAAGGAGUUUAUAUUAGAUUACUUAGAGAAUUAAGAGAUUUUAUAAGAGGAUCAAGGAGUUUAUAUUAGUUUACUUAGAGAAUUAAGGAAGUUUAUAAGAGGAUCAAGGAGUUUAUAAGAGAAUCGAGGAGUUAACAAAGAGAAUCAAGGAGUUUAUAUUAGAUUACUUAGAGAAUUAAGGAAGUUUAUUAGAGGAUCAAGGAGUCUUUAAGAGAAUCAAUGAGUUUACAAAGAGGAUCAAGGAGUUUAUAUUAGAUUACUUAGAGAAUUAAGGAAAUUUAUUAGAGGAUCAAGGAGUCUUUAAGAGAAUCAAUGAGUUUACAAAGAGGAUCAAGGAGUUUAUAAGAGAAUCGAGGAGUUAACAAAGAGGAUCAAGGAGUUUAUAUUAGAUUACUUAGAGAAUUAAGGAAGUUUAUAAGAGGAUCAAUUAGUCUAUAAGAGAAUCAAUGAGUUUACAAAGAGGAUCAAGGAGUUUAUAUUAGUUUACUUAGAGGAUUAAGGAAGCCUAUAGGGAUUUACAGAGAUUAUGAAGGAUUUUAACGGGGAAUUGAAGGCGUUUUACAAGAGAAUCGAUGAGUUUACAAAGAGAAUAAAGAGUUUACAAAGAGAAUCAGCAGUUUACAAAUAGAAUUAAUAGUUUACAAAGAGGAUCAAAAGUUUACAGAGAGAGUCAAGGAGUUUACAAAGAGAAUCGAGAGUUUACAAAGAGGAUCAAGUGUUUACAAAGAGAAUCGAGAGUUUACAAAGAGGAUCAAUAGUUUACAAAUAUAAUUAAUAGUUUACAAAGAGGAUCAAGAGUUUACAAAGAGAAUCAGGGAGUUUACAAAGAGAAUCGAGAGUUUUUACAAAGAGGAUCAAGAGUUUACAAAGAUAAUCAGUAGUUUACAAAUUGAAUUAAUAGUUUACAAAGAGGAUCAAGAGUUUACAAAGUGAAUCAGGGAGUUUACAAAGAGAAUCAAGGAGUUUACUAAGAGAAUCGAUUAAGUUUACACGGAGAAUCAAAAGUUUACAGAAUCAAGGAAGUUUAGCCAGUUUUCAGAGGAGGUCAGUGAAGGUUACAUACUCCAGGAAGGUUACAAGAGGUGAACGAAAUAAAGACGAGGUGUAUAAGUGUAACAUCGCUUAAUUAAUACAACAAAUCAAUCAGCGUACAGUAUUUAACACAACGCAUCAUAUUAAGUUAGUGUGCACAGCUUAACACAACGAGUCAGAUGGGCUUACGUAGCUUAAUAAGACUGUUGAUAAGAUAGUCAAAUCAGCUUAUAUCGGUUAACACUUGGGAAUCAAUCUACAUCAAAUGAGUUUACACGAUUUAACAUACAGAAUCAAAUAAGUUUACAUCGUUUGAUAAUGAAGACAUGUAAUCAAAUGAGUUUACACGGUUUAACAUACAGAAUCAAAUAAGUUUACAUCGUUUAAUAAUGAAGACAUGUAAUCAAAUGAGUUUACACGAUUUAACAUACAGAAUCAAAUAAGUUUACAUCGUUUGAUAAUGAAGACAUGUAAUCAAAUGAGUUUACACGGUUUAACAUACAGAAUCAAAUAAGUUUACAUCGUUUAAUAAUGAAGACAUGUAAUCAAAUGAGUUUACACGGUUUAACAUACAGAAUCAAAUAAGUUUACAUCGUUUAAUAAUGAAGACAUGUAAUCAAAUGAGUUUACACGGUUUAACAUACAGAAUCAAAUAAGUUUACAUCGUUUGAUAAUGAAGACAUGUAAUCAAAUGAGUUUACGUCGUUCAUUCAACACAGGGAAGGAAAUCAGUUUACAUGGGUUAAGACAGAUAGGAUAAUCGAAUCAGCCUCCAUAGUUUCACACGGAAUCAAAUCAGUUUACAUCAAACACAUAGAAUCAAAUCAGUUUUCAUCGUUUAACACAGAAUCAAAUCAGUUUUCAUCGUUUAACACACAGAAUCAAAUCAGUUUUCAUCGUUUAACACAUAGAAUCAAAUCAGUUUUCAUCGUUUAACACAGAAUCAAAUCAGUUUUCAUCGUUUAACACAUAGAAUCAAAUCAGUUUUCAUCGUUUAACACAGAAUCAAAUCAGUUUUCAUCGUUUAACACACAGAAUCAAAUCAGUUUUCAUCGUUUAACACAUAGAAUCAAAUCAGUUUUCAUCGUUUAACACAGAAUCAAAUCAGUUUUCAUCGUUUAACACAUAGAAUCAAAUCAGUUUACAUCGUUUAACACAGAAU